UAGAAGUCCUGAAACUCGGCUGAGCUGAAGGCUAUCCCAUUGUCUGAUACCAACCUGUCGGAGAGGCCACGUGAGGCAAAAACCCUGUGGAGAGCCCCUAACGCCACCUGGGAGGAUGUGGACACUACCGGUAUUACCUCCAGCCACUUAGAGUAGGAGUCUAUGAUAAGUUCAUCACUCGUAUGACUCCCCACAGCUCGCGCAGGUCCUGGGGCUUGCCGGUUCUGCUGCAUCUGGCUGUGGCUUUCACUGGCCCGCCUGAUGUAGCUUGAGGGCGUCGUCCCCAUCGGAGUCAUCUGACGUUGUGGAAGGUCGAAGCUGCAUGUUGUAUGGGCUCGCAAGGAUUAGCACAGUUGCCGCGAUGACAAGAUGCUGUCACCCAAAAAAACCUGUUGCAGUGCUAGUCUCCGAUCCUGACUCCAAGGGGAUCGUUCAGUCCUUGAAUACACAGACAUGACUAAACUUCACAUGCCUCCAGGAGAAGAAAGGAAGGAGACAGAUACUUAACCAUUUUAUUAUCUUGCCAAGAAUACCAAGUGGCAAAGAAGUUUUCAAGACUAUAUCAGUUCUAAGCAGCCAAAUGUGGGAACAGUUCCAGAAGUUCUUGAUAUGGCAGUUCUAAACAUUUAAAUGCUAAAACACAGCAGCAGCUUAUUUGUGAUUGAUGGUAACAACGUUCAGUUGUGAAUCCCUAAUCAGCUGCCCAAAGAGUGUGUCCAAACUGGAGCUAGUCCGGGAAAAUCCACCAAGCUAUUGUAGAAUACCGGAUGGCGGUUUGGGAGAGGGAUGAUGCAAGCAGGUAUAUUUUGUUUUUUUAAUAUUUAAUGCUGUUUUUAUUUGUUGUUAGCUGCCCUGAGCCCAUCGGGGAGGGCGGGAUAUAAAUUGUUUUUUUUUUAAA